rnacentral:tRNA from 1 species
GGGCUAUUGGCGCAGGCAGGUAGCGCAGCAGGCUCUUAACCUGACGGUCGGGGGUUCAAAACGUGAUUUCCAA